GGUGUGAUGGCCGAGAUGGUUAAGGCGGCGGUCUUAAGAUCCGCUGAUUAAAAAUCGUCGUGGGUUCGAGUCCCGCUCACACCU
rfam:Fonticula alba strain ATCC 38817 unplaced genomic scaffold supercont2.6, whole genome shotgun sequence.